rnacentral:rRNA from 1 species
UACGAGGGGAGCAAGCGUUGUUCGGAUUUACUGGGCGUAAAGGGUGCGUAGGUGGUGAGGUAAGUCUGAUGUGAAAUCUCCGAGCUUAACUCGGAAAUGGCAUUGGAAACUACCUUGCUAGAGGGUUGGAGGGGGGACUGGAAUACUUGGUGUAGCAGUGAAAUGCGUAGAUAUCAAGUGGAACACCAGUGGCGAAGGCGAGUCCCUGGACAACUCCUGACACUGAGGCACGAAAGCUAGGGGAGCAAACAGG